rnacentral:rRNA from 1 species
CGAAGCGUGCGAUUGGAUUGCACGUCUAAGCAGUAAGGCUGAGUAUUAGGCAAAUCCGGUACUCAUUAAGGCUGAGCUGUGAUGGGGAGAAGACAUUGUGUCUUCGAGUCGUUGAUUUCACACUGCCGAGAAAAGCCUCUAGAUAGAAAAUAGGUGCCCGUACCGCAAACCGACACAGGUAGUCAAGAUGAGAAUUCUAAGGUGAGCGAGCGAACUCUCGUUAAGGAACUCGGCAAAAUGACCCCGUAACUUCGGGAGAAGGGGUGCUCUUUAGGGUUAACGCCCAGAAGAGCCGCAGUGAAUAGGCCCAAGCGACUGUUUAUCAAAAACACAGGUCUCUGCUAAACCGUAAGGUGAUGUAUAGGGGCUGACGCCUGCCCGGUGCUGGAAGGUUAAGAGGAGUGGUUAGCUUCUGCGAAGCUACGAAUCGAAGCCCCAGUAAACGGCGGCCGUAACUAUAACGGUCCUAAGGUAGCGAAAUUCCUUGUCGGGUAAGUUCCGACCCGCAC